ensembl:snoRNA
CCCCUUCCAAAAGCACUUGCUCGGUCCCCUCAGUGGCUGGGUGAGUUGUCGACGAAGGGCACAUUGACGUCGUCACUGUGGGUGAGACGGCAGCGCCUGGCUGUGGCUGACUGGUCUCAAUCAGUGGGGAGACAAGC